CCUACGGGGGGCAGCAGUGAGGAAUAUUGGUCAAUGGGAGAGAUCCUGAACCAGCCAAGCCGCGUGAGGGAAGACGGCCCUAUGGGUUGUAAACCUCUUUUGUCGGAGAACAAAACCCGGGACGUGUCCCGGACUGCGUGUAUCCGAAGAAAAAGCAUCGGCUAACUCCGUACCAGCAGCCGCGGUAAUACGGAGGAUGCGAGCGUUAUCCGGAUUUAUUGGGUUUAAGGGGUGCGUAGGCGGUCCGUUAAGUCAGCGGUAAAAUGGCGGGGGUAAACCCCGUCGAGCCGUUGAAACUGGCAGGCUUGAGUUGGCGAGAAGUACGCGGAAUGCGCGGUGUAGCGGUGAAAUGCAUAGAUAUCGCGCAGAACUCCGAUUGCGAAGGCAGCGUACCGGCGCCAGACUGACGCUGAGGCACGAAAGCGUGGGGAUCGAACAGGAUUAGAUACCCCAGUAGUC
rnacentral:rRNA from 1 species